AUUGAACGCUGGCGGCAGGCUUAACACAUGCAAGUCGAGCGGAGUGAUGGUGCUUGCACUAUCACUUAGCGGCGGACGGGUGAGUAAUGCUUAGGAAUCUGCCUAUUAGUGGGGGACAACAUCUCGAAAGGGAUGCUAAUACCGCAUACGCCCUACGGGAGAAAGCAGGGGAUCACUUGUGACCUUGCGCUAAUAGAUGAGCCUAAGUCGGAUUAGCUAGUUGGUGGGGUAAAGGCCUACCAAGGCGACGAUCUGUAGCGGGUCUGAGAGGAUGAUCCGCCACACUGGGACUGAGACACGGCCCAGACUCCUACGGGAGGCAGCAGUGGGGAAUAUUGGACAAUGGGGGGAACCCUGAUCCAGCCAUGCCGCGUGUGUGAAGAAGGCCUUAUGGUUGUAAAGCACUUUAAGCGAGGAGGAGGCUCUUUUGGUUAAUACCCAAGAUGAGUGGACGUUGCUCGCAGAAUAAGCACCGGCUAACUCUGUGCCAGCCGCCGCCGUAA
rnacentral:rRNA from 1 species